GGGGGGACAGGUAUGACGAUGCUGGUGCCCAUCUCUCUGGGGCAUUCCGCCCCCUUUGGACUUCAUUGUCCCUGCUGUGUCACCAGGGGCCCUGCCACACCCUGCCUCCGAGUGUGUGGGGUCUGUACCUGCUUUGCCCCCACUGGCCGCUUUCUCCAGGACAGCCAUGAACAUCUCCAGUGUCCUCGGAGCAAGGAAGGAAUGCUUCCUGGAGCAGAAGUGGCCACAAUGACGCUAGGUCAGCAGAUGGCCGCAGAGGCCUGGGCAGUGACCGGUCGGAGAACAAAGCCUGAGGUGUUCCCAGGCCGGUUUCCACGGGAGUCUUGGCAGUGACCCGUGCACGGAGGAGACGCGUGCCUUCCUGGCCCCCCAGUUUGGAUUCCUGGUGCCUCUAAGGUCUGCUGAUGGCAGAGCUGCACCCGGGAUAUUGCCACGGUUUCUACAGGACUGAACAAAGGGGGACCAACGCAGAAAUGAAAACUUAAAACAAAAGUAAGUAUUUUAAAGGAAGGGGCCAGGGGAAGAAGAAGAGCACUCGCAGCUUCCGGUGAGCAUGAACAGCACCUGAGCUUCCACAGCCCUUCCUAUUUGUUGAGUAGAAUGAGCAGGGAGGAGGAGGUAAUGAUUGCUCAGCUGCUUAAUUGAUCACAGGUGCAUAUUAUUACUAACAGCCUUCAGAUGUGCCCUGUAGCUAAUCACAAGAAACACUUGUGCCUGGGUCGUGACUGCCUCAGUAUUCCUUCUGGGCGGCAGAAGCAGUUUGUCAGUUUACCAGUUUGCCAACGUUCUGCUUUUCUGAGAACAGUUUGCUGUUUACCCACAUACCCUCCAGUGGUAUACUGAGUUGAUCACCACCCUCACUUUCUGCAGCAGCCACUAAGGAAGGCGCAGAGGGACUUCCUUUCGGCCUGCAACAGUAUCUGUGCUGCCCAAGUGAGUAUGGAAUUUUAAAUUUUCAUUCUUAGUCUCUUCCUUCAUCCACUGGUCAUUCAGGAGCAUGUUGUUUAAUUUCCAUGUAUUUGUACAGUUUCAAAUGUUCCUCUUGUUAUUGCUUUCUGGUUUUGUUGCACUGUGGUCAGAUAAGAUACCUGGUAUCAUUUUGAUUUUUAAAACAUUGUAGAGACAUGUUUUGUGUCUUAACAUAUUGUCAAUCCUGGAGAAUCUCCCAUGUGCUGAUGAAAAGAAUGUAUUUUUCAGCUGUUGAGUGAAACGUUCUGUAAAGGUCUGUCAGGUCCAUUUGGUCUACGGUGUAGUUUCAAUCCAAUGUUUCUUUGUUAAUCUUCUAUCUAGAUGAUCUUUUUAAUGCUGAGAGAGGGGUUUUAGAGUCCAACUAUUAUUCUAUUGGGGUCUAUCUCUCCCUUUAGAUCUAUUAAUAAUAAUAUUUGCUUUAUAUACCUGGGUACCCUGGUGUUGGGUGCAUAUAUAUUUUUAAGUGUUAUAUUCCCUUGCCAAAUUAACCCCCUUAUUAUUAUACAGCGUCUUUGUCUCUUUUUAUAGCUUUUGAAGUCUGUUUUGUCUAAUAUAAGUACAGUUACUCCUGCUCACUUUUGGUUUCCAUUUUUGUGGAAUAUUUUUUUCCAUCCCUUCACUUUUAGCCUAUAUGUUUCUUCACACAUGAGGUGAGUUUCUUGUAGGCAGCGUAUAGCUGGGUCUUUUUAA
rnacentral:lncRNA from 1 species